UAGUGUAAAAAUUCUUCAAAACCCUUGUAUUUUUUCAAUUAACUAAGAAUGGUUCUCUGUUCCUUCCUCUGCAAAGUUUCUUCCUCAAUGCUUGGUACUGGACUCUGUAGACCUUUCUUUGCUUCCAUUCCAAGAUCUGUUGUUAGUGCUAUCUUCUUCUCUUUCUUCUUUAGUUAUGGUUCGUGAAUUGCCCACUUAACCUUCCCCGUCUCGCAAAUACUAUUUCCAAGUCAAUAGCCGUUGCUUUCAAAAACGACUUGUCGAUGACAAAGUUGUACAGAGCAUCAACUCUGAAAUCAAAAAUUAAAAAUUUGUAAGGUACAAAGCCGUCCCAAAAGGUUUUCCUUUCAGCAUCCAUCUCCAAGAUUUGACAGAAGAUAUUGUACUACGCUUACAAAAGAAGAUGAAGACGGAGUCAUCAAAGUCGAAGUUGAAAAGGGUGACACUGAGGAUGCAUUAGCAUAUAUAAAUGACAAUUCUAAAGAAUUAGAUUAUAGCAAGACAGAGAUUGUGAUGAUAAUUAUAAAAAUUCUGAUUCUGAUGAUAAUGAUGGUGACAAGCAAGAGAAAGAAUGAUAUAAUAAUAGUUAUGAGGAUGAAAAAUUUGAUUUAGACACAGACGCAAAUCUGGAAUUCCAGUGGUUGUGACUGUUACAAAAAAGCAUGGAUAGGGACGGACUUUAAAAUUUGAAGUUACUGCUAUGUGGUGCUCUGGUAAAUGUAAGCGGGAUCGGACUAGUUUUUAAUAAAAUUUCCACAAGUUUGCCCAAAGAUCAACGGUGAAGAUAUGGUGUCGAGGAAGAAACCAUACGAAGCAUCGCAUUACUUUCCAUGUACUCCGAUGAAGACGAUGAAGAUAUGGAGGAUCUUGAUGAUUCAGAAGAGGAAUUUGUUGAGGAGAUUCAAACAGCUAAUGGUAAGUAGGACUCCUAAAGUACCAGUUCAGCUGCAUUUUCUAAUUGUACAAAUGUCAACAUAUUUGUGUUUAACUUUUACUUAUCAGUACUUCUAACACUAG